UACGUAGGGGGCAAGCGUUGUCCGGAAUCACUGGGCGUAAAGCGCACGUAGGCGGCUUGUUAAGUCGGGGGUGAAAUCCUGGAGCUCAACUCCAGAACUGCCUUCGAUACUGGCGAUCUUGAGUCCGGGAGAGGUGAGUGGAACUCCGAGUGUAGAGGUGAAAUUCGUAGAUAUUCGGAAGAACACCAGUGGCGAAGGCGGCUCACUGGCCCGGUACUGACGCUGAGGUGCGAAAGCGUGGGGAGCAAACAGG
rnacentral:rRNA from 1 species